UACACUCCUACGGGAGGCAGCAGUGGGGAAUUUUGGACAAUGGGCGAAAGCCUGAUCCAGCAAUGCCGCGUGUGUGAAGAAGGCCUUCGGGUUGUAAAGCACUUUUGUCCGGAAAGAAAUCCUUGGCUCUAAUACAGUCGGGGGAUGACGGUACCGGAAGAAUAAGCACCGGCUAACUACGUGCCAGCAGCCGCGGUAAUACGUAGGGUGCGAGCGUUAAUCGGAAUUACUGGGCGUAAAGCGUGCGCAGGCGGUUUGCUAAGACCGAUGUGAAAUCCCCGGGCUCAACCUGGGAACUGCAUUGGUGACUGGCAGGCUAGAGUAUGGCAGAGGGGGGUAGAAUUCCACGUGUAGCAGUGAAAUGCGUAGAGAUGUGGAGGAAUACCGAUGGCGAAGGCAGCCCCCUGGGCCAAUACUGACGCUCAUGCACGAAAGCGUGGGGAGCAAACAGGAUUAGAAACCCGGGUAGUCCCAU
rnacentral:rRNA from 1 species